rnacentral:rRNA from 1 species
UGAGGAAUAUUGGGCAAUGCCCGCAAGGGUGACCCAGCAACGCCGCGUGGAGGAUGAAUGUCGUAAGAUUGUAAACUCCUGUUAGAGGGGAAGAAUAGUACCGGUUGGACCGGUAUAUGACUGUACCCUCAGAGAAAGCCCCGGCUAACUACGUGCCAGCAGCCGCGGUAAUACGUAGGGGGCAAGCGUUGUCCGGAUUUACUGGGUGUAAAGGGCGCGCAGGCGGGAUAAAAAGUCAGUGGUGAAAUCCUACAGCUUAACUGUAGAACUGCCUUUGAUACUUUUACUCUUGAGUUCGGGAGAGAGAGACGGAAUUCCAGGUGUAGUGGUGAAAUACGUAGAUAUCUGGAAGAACACCAGUUGCGAAGGCGGUCUCUUGGUCCGACACUGACGCUGAGGCGCGAAAGCGUGG